rnacentral:hammerhead_ribozyme from 1 species
AUGCAGCUGACGAGUCCCAAAUAGGACGAAACGUGCGCCCUGGAU